CUCACCCUCUACUACGCGUUGCUCCAACGACAGUUUAUCUUACGCGCUUGCGUCUGCAUUUAUCUUGAUUCUGUGAACGGCACAGGAAUUGUAGAGACUCACUAACGUUAUUAAAGAAACAUAACAGAUGCAUCUGGUGCUCCUCAACGGAGACAGCUUGUCGCUGUUUCUCAUAAGUGUCGCUAAGGAAUACUGGAUUUCUACCUUACUUCUGUAUUCAAAAUACCUUAUUGACAUUGACUAUUGUCAGAUAAUCAGUGUUGUGAACGAUUACUUAUCGUUCAAAGUGCUUGAUUCGAUCUGUAUAGGAGUAAGCUAGACAUUGAGUAAGCAAUGGUAUUGGCAAAGCUCUAACGAAGGUGACGUGUAUCCAACUAAUCUGACGCAUGGGAAAACUUAGGACAAGCUUUGUUAUCGUAUUAUCAUAUUCAAUACCAAUGGUACCAUUGUUCAAUUUCAUCAAUAAGGGGGCCAAGGAGUCAACGAGGAGUUACUCACUAUCUUUAGAGUGAUCGAGAUUUCCAAUUGAAUCGACUGGUCGAGAGUACAUCGAGCGACUGAUCAAGAUCGAUUCCUAAUGACUGGGACGCAUCUCGAGCCAGGAAGUGUCUCAGUCGCUGCCAAGUAUUUCCCGCUGGCGUUUCAAGGCUUUUUCUUCUAUGCACGUUUGUAUUUACGAGGAGUACGAGUAAACCUGAUGCGUGAAAAUUCUUUCCCAUUACAAUACUCUGGUACUAAAGUUAGAACUUUGUCAAAGGAAUCUAUCCUCAUACCUGGGCAUCAUUUUAAUUAACGAAAAAAAACGAUGGACGACUUUGCUGACCGGAUAUCAACUUGUUUACCUACUGUCAAUAAUGCGAUCAUGCUAGAAGAACGUAAGCGACUCCUGCUAAAUAUUUACAACGACAUUUCUAAUUGUGACGUAGUGGGAUUAGGCUGGUCUUGAUUAACGAGUUCCCCACCCGUACGUUAAUUAAUCUUUAAUUGGCGUUACGCACUCGGAAAUAUCAAUGAAAGAGACGUGCGUGGCUUCGUAGGAAAAAAGCAAGAGAAGAGAAAAUAGUUCACGUGCAGAGUUAACAUUCUGGAAAGGCCAUAUUCGUAUCAGUGUUUGAGAAUCAAGGAAAAUGAUAUUUAUAUUUUACUUGUUGAACGAUUCUCAUAAAUCGUAUCGAUGAACUACCUUCGGUGCUUCAUCAAGAUAAGCGACGGAGAGUGAUGAAGGGAGCAAGAGAAGAAAUAAAUGUAGAACCGAACCAUCGGAAAUUAAAGCCUUGUAACGACGUAUGUCAGAGGCCACGUCCUGAUAAAAUCGAUCCUUGACGAGAUUCAAGGCUCCACGAUAAACAGGGAAAAGAAUUUGGCUGCCACAAAUACCAGAUUGUUUGACUUUUUAAUGAAAAUCUGCCUUCUUGACUGAUAUCAAUGGAAAUCGAUGCCGCAAAAUGUGUAUCGUAGAAUGGCAAAAAAAUGGAUUAAUGAAAUUAGAGGGAGUUGAGGUGUAAUGAAUUCAGAGAACGAGGUGCGUGUCAGAAGCAGUUCGUGAGCAGGAGCCGCAUGCAGAUUAAUGCAAAAGGUCUUAGACUUUGUGAAGAAACCAUCAAAAUCAAAAUGUAUCGAAUCAACGCCUAAAAGGAAUACAAGAUGAUAAGAAGAGUCAAGGAGUUCAAAGGUCCAAAAUGAUUUGAUAACCCCGUUUGAGAACCUACGUAAGCACGGAUCCAAUAUACGUGGUGUGGAAAGGAAAUUAAGACUAAAUAAACGCGGAUUAAUUUACAUCACGAGACGAUGACGUGAAAUACGAAAGACAAAAGGUAAAGUUUACACCAAACUAAUCUCAGUCACACGUAGAGAACACUCACCGUCAACGGGAUUGCCGCCUUCUUCUUCGAAUGUGGUUCGAUCGAUUUUAUCACAGGGAACAACAGUGCACUUCUCUCUUAG